rnacentral:rRNA from 1 species
AGCCUACAGCCACCAUCCGCCAGGGAACUACAAGCGCCAGCUUAAAACCCAAAGGACUUGGCGGUGCUUCAGACCCACCUAGAGGAGCCUGUUCUAGAACCGAUAAUCCCCGUUCAACCUCACCACCUUUAGCCUUCCCCGCCUAUAUACCGCCGUCGUCAGCUUACCCCGUGAGGGUUAAACAGUGAGCACAAUGAGCAAACCCCAAAACGUCAGGUCGAGGUGUAGCGAAUGAGGUGGAAAGAAAUGGGCUACAUUUUCUAUAAUAGAAUAUUACGAACAGCAAACUGAAAUAAAUGCUUAAAGGUGGAUUUAGCAGUAAAAAGAAAAUAGAGAGUCCUUUUGAAUUAGGCUCUGAAGCGCGCACACACCGCCCGUCACCCUCCCCUUAACUAACCACAACCAAGUAACUAACACCAAAAACUACAAUACGGGGAGGCAAGUCGUAACAUGGUAAGUGUACCGGAAGGUGCACUUGGAAAAAC